rnacentral:rRNA from 1 species
GCCUCCCUCCGCCGCCACUCAGACUCCGUACGGGACGGCGAGCAGUGGGAAGUAGUUGCACAAUGGGACGGGAAGGCCGUGAUGCAGCGACGCCGCGUCGGAGGGAGUGACGGCCUUCGGUUCGUAACCCUUUCACGCAGGGACGAAGCGCAAGUGACUGUACCUGCAGAAGAAGCACCGGCUAACUACGUGCCAGCAGCCGCGGUAAUAC